rnacentral:rRNA from 1 species
CAGAUCCGUAGUACGCGAGUGAACUGGAGCAGUCCAGCGCUUAAUCAUUGUGCCCCUSGUGCAGCGAGGUGUAGCGUAUAGGUCGGUCUCAAGUGUCAGCCAGUUGUUCAAGUUUCCCUUGACCGGGGCAUCACAGAAGGUGCAAGUCCUGUACAACAACUGCGCUGGCUCUUCUUGGCCAGGCCUUGGAGUCGGGUUGUUUGGGAUCGCAGCCCAAAGCAGGUGGUAAACUUCAUCUAAGGCUAAAUAUGACCACGAGUCCGAUAGCGAACAAGUACCGUGAGGGAAAGUUGCAAAGCACUUUGAAGAGAGAGUUAAAGAGGACGUGAAACCGAUGAGGUGGAAACGGAUAGAGCCAGCGUAUCUGGCCUGUAUUCAACCGCUCGUGGAAAGCGCUCGUGCAGCUGGCGACUCCAGAUUGGGACAGUUGUGCAGGGCCAUGCUGGAUACGAGUGGUGCAUUUGCAGGUCGAGUGCGCCGAGAGGUUCGGAGCAGCGGUGUGAACUCAGUUUUGAGGCCAGCUUGCUGGUACCCGGACUGUGGGGAGUGCUGUUUGCUCUGGGCACUUGGGGUAUGGCUUACGGGCUCGGUUGGGUGCCGAGCUGCGGGUCGGCGGCGGUCGCAUGCGACACGUGCUGUACAAGCAGUUCGGUCCUAGUCGAGCUCACAUGCCCAUUCUCGGUGUAAGAGCUGGUCAUCUCUCCGACCCGUCUUGAAACACGGACCAAGGAGUUUAUCGUGUGCGCGAGUCAUUGGGCGUUGAAAACCCAAAGGCGCAAUGAAAGUGAAUGUCUCCGCAAGGAGCUGAUGUGCGAUCCUGCACUCUGCGGAGUGUGGGAGCAGCAUGGCCCCAUCCUGACUGCUUGCAGUGGGGUGGAGGAAGAGCGUACGCGGUGAGACCCGAAAGAUGGUGAACUAUUCCUGAGCAGGAUGAAGCCAGAGGAAACUCUGGUGGAAGUCCGAAGCGAUUCUGACGUGCAAAUCGAUCGUC